rnacentral:rRNA from 1 species
AUACGAAAGGUGCAAGCGUUGUUCGGAUUUACUGGGCGUAAAGAGAGUGUAGGUUGUUUAUUAAGUCGGAUGUGAAAUCCCGGGGCUCAACCUCGGAACUGCAUUCGAUACUGGUAGACUAGAGUUCGGGAGGGGUAAGCGGAAUUCCGUGUGUAGCAGUGAAAUGCGUAGAUAUACGGAGGAACACCUGAGGCGAAGGCGGCUUACUGGACCGAUACUGACACUGAGACUCGAAAGCGUGGGUAGCAAACAGGAUUAGAAACCCCAGUAGUCC